UGUGUGUGAGUGACAGGGUUCUACCAGCUAUUUAGUUCACCGUUGAGUGAGUGUGAGGCCGAGUGAGACGACAGCGUGGCUGGCCCUCACUGAUAACUAGGCACAGGCAGAGCCCUGUGCUCUGUGCUUCUAUUCAAAACACAUGCACACACUCAUGUUAAUUAAUCCAAAAAUGGAGGGGAAAUCGGAAAAAAGCCCACUGUCUCCACUUUUAAUUGGACUGACUGUCAUCCAACCAUAAAGAGAAAACAAGCUCAAUCAUUCUCCUCCAUCUUGUCGCUUGUUGAAUUAUUGAUAGACGAAGCGCACACAGCACUAGAAAAUGAAAUGGGGAAAGAGUACAGAGCUCGAGUGUGUUUGAAUGUAGUGAUAAAAUGUGAUUAUUCAUGUGUGAUGCAUGCUGUGUGGACCCUUGUAACAGAACGAGGAGGAGUACUGAGUUUCUCCACAGUGACUAUAGAGAACCUGUAUGUGCCAGACAAGCCAGCUGGUAUCUUGUUGUCCAAGUACACAAUGCUCCAGCAGAAAAAAAGAAAAAAAAAACAACUGAAGAAGAUGAGUGCUGAGAUGGUACUCAGUCAGAAGGGAUUCAGUUUUCAGUCACAUUUGAACUACUAUUAAAUGCUCAUCCGCUACCAGCCAGCACUCACCGCCUUCCCGACCCUGUUGGCCCCAGUAUAAAUCUUAUAAUCAUCUCUUCAUUUUACCCUUACAUCUCAAGUUUGAUGAUCUUGCUGAUACGCUGAUUAAAUUAUAUCAGAUUGGCUUUUAGCUAGCAGCUGUAGUUAAAAAGAUUUUUUCGAAUAAUAUUUUGGCAUGUUAGCUCUUAAAAAAAAAGAAGAAAAAACUCGCCCUCUCAUAACACAGUGUAACAGGAAUCAGAAGCAAUUUUCUCCUUCUCUAAUGGACUGGUAUGUGCUUCAAAAAUUAAAAUAUAGCUACUUGCAAACUUUUAUAACUGGAAGAUAUGUGGCACAUUAAAUACCCAUUAUUGUUAUUACCAACAAUAAUAGUAUUAAUAUAGAUAGUCACAUAAAAUGAUAUGUUAUAUGGACUUUAACUGCAUAUUACCUUAAUAGAAAGAUGAUUAUUUUUGUGACCUCUUAAUUUUUUGAUAACUCAACCAGAUAAUGAGAAUGGGGAAAUCCCUGAAUGGGCUUCUGGGCUUUGACAGUGACAAAACAUGUUUCACUUAAACUUCUAGAGGCCAAAUAGAGACCUUGAAAUAUUCCCCUCAUCAAUUAAUCUCCAUUCAAUGACACACUGCUUUACUUAGCCAACCAUUC
ensembl:lncRNA